rnacentral:rRNA from 1 species
UACGAAGGGGGCUAGCGUUGCUCGGAAUUACUGGGCGUAAAGCGCACGUAGGCGGGUCGUUAAGUCGGGGGUGAAAUCCUGGAGCUCAACUCCAGAACUGCCCUCGAAACUGGCGAUCUUGAGUUCGGGAGAGGUGAGUGGAACCGCGAGUGUAGAGGUGAAAUUCGUAGAUAUUUCGCAAGAACACCAGUGGCGAAGGCGGCUCGACUGGCCCGCUAGUACC